rnacentral:tRNA from 1 species
AUGGCAACGACCCAGGUUACCACUACCCCAUUAAUGC